UACGGAGGGUGCGAGCGUUGUCCGGAAUCACUGGGCGUAAAGGGCGCGUAGGCGGCUUGGGAAGUCCGUGGUGAAAGCUCGUGGCUCAACUGCGAGUCGGCCAUGGAUACUCCUAAGCUCGAGUCGACUAGAGGCAGAUGGAAUUCCGGGUGUAGCGGUGGAAUGCGUAGAGAUCCGGAAGAACACCGGUGGCGAAGGCGGUCUGCUGGGGUCGAACUGACGCUGAGGCGCGACAGCGUGGGGAGCAAACAGG
rnacentral:rRNA from 1 species